UACAGAGGUCUCAAGCGUUGUUCGGAUUCAUUGGGCGUAAAGGGUGCGUAGGCGGGCCUUUAAGUCAGGGGUGAAAUCCUGGAGCUCAACUCCAGAACUGCCUUUGAUACUGAGGAUCUUGAGUCCGGGAGAGGUGAGUGGAACUGCGAGUGUAGAGGUGAAAUUCGUAGAUAUUCGCAAGAACACCAGUGGCGAAGGGGGCUCACUGGACCGGUAUUGACGCUGAUGUGCGAAAGCGUGGGGAGCAAACAGG
rnacentral:rRNA from 1 species